rnacentral:lncRNA from 1 species
CAAAUUUUUAUUAUUAGCUGGCUAUGAAGGAAAGAAAUGCACUUAAUUGGCAUAAAGAAGGUUGGACUGUCUGAAAAUACUCUUUUCUGGGAGUAUGUUCGUAGACAACUGAAAUAAACUGCAACUCACUGGUGCCAAAUAUAUCACACAUCAGCCCACCUCCUGCCACGGGGUUCAGAAAGGGGCUUCCCUGCUGAGGAGCCAUGCUCUUUCCACGAU